rnacentral:rRNA from 1 species
UUUGCUGUGGGUAUUUUGACUAUACAAAGGUAUUGUAAUAAGACUUUAAUUGAGUGCUAAAAGAAUGGACUUUCAAAAAAAUUCUUUUUUGAAAUUAAAAAUUGAAGUUAUUUUUAUUUGUGAAGAAACAAUAAUAAAAAUUAGGGACAAGAAGACCCUAUGAAUUUUAAUUUUCUUAUAUUUUGAAUCAAAAUAUAAGAAAAUUUAAUUGGGGCGAUUGAAAAAAAUUAAAAUCUUUUUUUUAAUAAAAAAUGAUCCAUUAAUAAUGAUUUUAUGAAAAAAAUACUCUAGGGAUAACAGCGUAAUAAUUUUAGAU